UGGCUGCUCAGUAGUCGGUGUAGGAUCUGUCCGAUAGUCUCGUUAACAGCUACAUCUGAUUACUGGGUCACCA
rnacentral:pre_miRNA from 9 species